CCUCGGGGGGCAGCAGUGGGGAAUAUUGGACAAUGGGCGAAAGCCUGAUCCAGCCAUGCCGCGUGUGUGAAGAAGGCCUUCGGGUUGUAAAGCACUUUCAGUGGGGAAGAAAGCCUUGGGGCUAAUACCCUCGAGGAAGGACAUCACCCACAGAAGAAGCACCGGCUAACUCCGUGCCAGCAGCCGCGGUAAUACGGAGGGUGCGAGCGUUAAUCGGAAUUACUGGGCGUAAAGCGCGCGUAGGCGGUCUGAUAAGCCGGUUGUGAAAGCCCCGGGCUCAACCUGGGAACGGCAUCCGGAACUGUCAGGCUAGAGUGCAGGAGAGGAAGGUAGAAUUCCCGGUGUAGCGGUGAAAUGCGUAGAGAUCGGGAGGAAUACCAGUGGCGAAGGCGGCCUUCUGGACUGACACUGACGCUGAGGUGCGAAAGCGUGGGUAGCAAACAGGAUUAGAUACCCUAGUAGUC
rnacentral:rRNA from 1 species